UCCGUUUUAAGGAGACUGUCAUGGCGGCGCCCAUAGCGGUACACCUAGAGUUCGGUUCAAAUGUGUUUUGAGAAAUUCGCGUCCUGCUGCUGCUGCUGAUGUCACAAUCACAAGCAGAACCAGAACCAGGAUCAGAACCAGGAUCAGGAUCAGAACCAGAACCAGAACCAGGAUCAGUGUGUUGACUCACACAAGAGAUUUGGUUCCAGCUGUUUGUUACUCAGAAGUACAGACAUAAAUAAGACUGUAUUAUACAAGACAAUACAGAUGUGAUGCAAUAAACAGAAUGAGAAUUAAAUAUAAAUACAGAAUAUAUAACA